AGUCACGAGGGAUUUCAGGCAAAGUCAUGCAUGGCUUGUGUUACUGUACCAGCAAUCUCACCUUAAAAGCUUCCAAAAAUACACAAAAAUCCCUAUUGGUAUUCAAUUCUACUUCCUUUAUCAUCAAGUUCAUUUAUGUUCUUUCUGAUGUAUUUUGGUCUGAGAGCUUGAAGCUGCCAGCAUGAUCUGGUAAGAACAAGUCCAUGAAUCUUUUGGUGAUUCCUGUACUACUUCCAUUAAGAUCAUGAAAAUCUUGAAUUAGAUACCACUAGACUAAAGUUCCAAAUCAUAUUUCAUAACCUUUAAAGGAUGUAUAAUUGGCAACAGAUCGGCAAGAUUUGAUCUAUAUGUUCAAAUUUUCUUGCUGUUCUUUCUUACCAUGUUUUAGUUUUAAGGGCUUAAUCAGAAGGCGUUUGAGAGUAAAGAAACAUGUUAGGAAAUCUAGCUUCUUAGAUUUGGUUUCAUCAGGUCAUCUAGCAGCUUCAAUCGCUCACCAACAAUACAAUCCAAUGAAUUUGCAACUCGAUUAUAUCAGCUUUUCUGUAAAUUUGGACAGGUGUCCAAAUGCUUUCACAUGAUGCCCUUUAGCCUUUACAGUAGUCUUACUGUCUCCUAGUGAUGUAACAUAAAAAAUGCAGAGCAAAAUAGCUUAUUUAUUUGGACCAGAAAGAAAAGAAAUUAAACCUCUUGUCUGUGUCUUUCAGUGGUUCUGAUGGAUGAGCUAGAAAGUCUCUAUCAUUGAUUCAUCCUCUUUGUCUAUUUUUACGACAAGCAGUCACAUUCAUUUUUAAGAAGAGAUUUAUGGUACAAAUUCUGUACAAGUUAAAUUAUACAGAUGUAUUUCAUACUACAAUCAACUGUACUUUUCAAGUUUCUA